AGCUUAGCACAGUGGCAGUAUCAUAGGCAGUGAGGUUUAUCCGAGGCGUGAUUAUUGCCAAUUGAAAACUUUUCUCGAUACCCUUCUGUGAUGACUUGCAAUGUAGUCAGCAUUGGCAAGGUUUUUUUUUUUUUUUUUUUUUUUUUUUUUUAAAG
rfam:Homo sapiens chromosome 1, GRCh38 reference primary assembly.